rnacentral:rRNA from 1 species
CAGUAGCCGCGGGAAUACGGAGGGCGCGAGCGUUACCCGGAUUUACUGGGCGUAAAGGGCGUGUAGGCGGCCUGGGGCGUCCCAUGUGAAAGGCCACGGCUCAACCGUGGAGGAGCGUGGGAUACGGUCAGGCUAGAGGGUGGGAGAGGGUGGUGGAAUUCCCGGAGUAGCGGUGAAAUGCGCAGAUACCGGGAGGAACGCCGAUGGCGAAGGCAGCCACCUGGUCCACUUCUGACGCUGAGGCGCGAAAGCGUGGGGAGCAAACCGGAUUAGAUACCCCGGUAGUCCCUGUCUCUUAUAC